UCACCUGUUUUUCAAAAACAUGUCUUAUUGAAAAUAAUUUUAAGUCUAAUCUGCUCAAUGAAUAAAUUUUAAAUAGCUGCAGUAUAAAUAACUGUACAAAGGUAGCAUAAUAAUUUGUUUUUUAAUUGAAAACUAGAAUGAAUGAUUUAAUGAAAUAUAAACUAUAUCAAAUUUAAACAAUAAAUUUAUUAUUUAAAUAAAAAAAUUUAAAUAAUUUUUAAAGACGAGAAGACCCUAUAGAAUUUAAAUAAUAAUUUUUUUAAUAAUAAAAUAAUUAUUAUAUUAAUUGGGGAAAUUUUAAAAUUUAAAAAAUUUUUAAUUUAAUAAACAUAUAUUUUUGAAUAUUUAUUAUUUUUUUAAAAAAAUAAAUUUAAUUACCUUAGGGAUAACAGCAUAAUUUUUUUAAAAAGUUCAAAUUUAUAAAAAAGUUUAUGACCUCGAGUUUGAAUAAGA
rnacentral:rRNA from 1 species